rnacentral:rRNA from 1 species
CAAUAGCGUAUAUUAAAGUUGUUGCAGUUAAAAAGCUCGUAGUUGGAUUUCAAGUCUCGUUGCAAUCUUGGUCCACCGAUACUGGUGCGUACUGUUUGCGGAGGCUUUCCUUUCGGAGACCGAUUCGUUGCUAUUAGGUUAGUGGUUUCGGGGAUCCGGAUCGUUCACUUUGAAAAAAUUAGAGUGUUUAAAGCAGGCAACCGCCUUGAAUACAUUAGCAUGGAAUGAUGAAAUAGGACUCUUCGCCUAUUUUGUCUGGUUCUUAGGAGUAGAGUAAUGAUUAAUAGGGAUAGUUGGGGGCAUUUAUAUUUAAUUGUCAGAGGUGAAAUUCACGGAUUUAUGAAAGAUAAACUUCUGCGAAANCANNNGCCAAGGAUGUUUUCAUNAA